ACCUACGGCCAUGCCACCCUGAACAAGCCCAGUCCCAUCUGAUCUUGGAAGCUAAGCAGGGUCGGGCCUGGUUAGUAUUUGAAUGGGAGACCACCUAGAAGACCAGGUGCUGUAGGCG
rnacentral:rRNA from 1 species